GAUGAACGCUGACAGAAUGCUUAACACAUGCAAGUCUACUUGAACUUCGGUUUGGGUGGCGGACGGGUGAGUAACGCGUAAAGAACUUGCCUCACAGUUAGGGACAACAUUUGGAAACGAAUGCUAAUACCUGAUAUUAUGAUUUUAGGGCAUCCUAGGAUUAUGAAAGCUAUAUGUGCUGUGAGAGAGCUUUGCGUCCCAUUAGCUAGUUGGAGAGGUAACGGCUCACCAAGGCGAUGAUGGGUAGCCGGCCUGAGAGGGUGAACGGCCACAAGGGGACUGAGACACGGCCCUUACUCCUACGGGAGGCAGCAGUGGGGAAUAUUGGACAAUGGACCAAAAGUCUGAUCCAGCAAUUCUGUGUGCACGAUGACGUUUUUCGGAAUGUAAAGUGCUUUCAGUUGGGAAGAAAAAAAUGACGGUACCAACAGAAGAAGUGACGGCUAAAUACGUG
rnacentral:rRNA from 1 species